rnacentral:rRNA from 1 species
AUUGAACGCUGGCGGCAGGCCUAACACAUGCAAGUAGAACGAGUGGCGGCCGGGUGAGUAAUGUCUGGGAACCUGCCCGAUGGAGGGGGAUAACUACUGGAAACGGUAGCUAAUACCGCAUACCAUCGGAUGUGCCCAUAUGGGAUUAGAUAGUAGGGGGGGUAACGGCUCACCUAGGAGACGAUCCCUAGCUGGUCUGAGAGGCUGACCAGCCACACUGGAACUGAGACACGGCCCAGACGCCUACGGGAGGCAGCAGUGGGGAAUAUUGGACAAUGGGCGCAAGCCUGAUGCAGCCAUGCCGCGUGUAUGAAGAAGGCCUUCGGGUUGUAAAGUACUUUCAGCGAGGAGGCGUUACUCGCAGAAGAAGCACCGGCUAACUACGUGCCAGCAGCCGCGGUAAUUC